UCCUUCGAGGGGCGCUGCAACGGGACGCACGGGCGUACUUGCCAGGCUCGUUGGGGUGGAUUAUUACCGGCAACGGCGCCCGUUCAUC
rnacentral:ncRNA from 2 species